UGGGGGACAACAUUUCGAAAGGAAUGCUAAUACCGCAUACGCCCUACGGGGGAAAGCAGGGGAUCUUCGGACCUUGCGCUAAUAGAUGAGCCUAAGUCGGAUUAGCUAGUUGGUGGGGAAAGGCCUACCAAGGCGACGAUCUGUAGCGGGUCUGAGAGGAUGAUCCGCCACACUGGGACUGAGACACGGCCCAUACUCCUACGGGAGGCAGCAGUGGGGAAUAUUGGACAAUGGGGGGAACCCUGAUCCAGCCAUGCCGCGUGUGUGAAGAAGGCCUUUUGGUUGUAAAGCACUUUAAGCGAGGAGGAGGAGCUCUAGACUAAUACUCUAGAUGCUUGGACGUUACUCGCAGAAUAAGCACCGGCUAACUCUGUGCCAGCAGCCGCGGUAAUACG
rnacentral:rRNA from 1 species